AUGCUAAUAUUUGUGUUUAUCUCACUUUCUGGUCCUCCAGGAGGUAUUACUGAAGUAAACUUCCAGAAUCCAGAUCCAAAGACGUGGACGGUGAAAACAACUGGAACUAGCUUUGAUUUCAGAACCACGGAUGAUGUAUUUUCUCCACGUUGUCUCUUCUGUUCCUGCAAACCCCAGAGAACAUGCUGUAUGAGUAUAAUGGAAAUCAUUUCACUUUCUUUGACUUAUGGUUAGUGAAGAGGAUUUCAGGCUGGCAUCAAGUUACAGGUUGGUUGUCUUCAUUCUUUUUUUC
rnacentral:lncRNA from 13 species